rnacentral:rRNA from 1 species
UACGUAGGGUGCAAGCGUUGUCCGGAAUUAUUGGGCGUAAAGAGCUCGUAGGCGGUUUGUCGCGUCGGCUGUGAAAACCUGGGGCUCAACCCCGGGCCUGCAGCCGAUACGGGCAAACUAGAAUUCGGUAGGGGAGACUGGAAUUCCCGGUGUAGCGGUGAAAUGCGCAGAUAUCAGGAGGAACACCGGUGGCGAAGGCGGGUCUCUGGGCCGAUAUUGACGCUGAGGAGCGAAAGCGUGGGGAGCGAACAGG